rnacentral:misc_RNA from 1 species
CGUGUGUAUAGGAGUAUUGAUCAUAAUAUUUAAAACUAGCAUAAUAUGGAUUUUCACUUUUGAAAUUCCAUAUUAUGCCAGCAAUAAAUAUUAUGAUUAAAUCCACAAAAGAAAAUUCUUUCUUCUGAAGAAAUAGUGAAUCAAAUUGAUAUAACAAUAAUUUAGAAUUGGCUAUAUAGAUUUUUUUGUCAUUUAAUUUUGUUUGAAG